GUGAAUUAAACAUGCUUGGUGUCUUCGCUUCGGCAAGGCCCUUGCUUAAAUCACAUCCUAACACCUGUGAACUGUAAGACGUAUGAUGAGGUCUUUGGCCAAGUCAUCGCCUGCCCAUUUUUAACAAACAAUUAAUGUAACAAACGUAGUCUUAUUAUAACCUAAUA
rnacentral:misc_RNA from 1 species